AUGCAAAGAACUUUGAAAAGAGAGUUAAAGAGUACCUGAAAUUGCUGAAAGGGAAGCGAAGGAAAGCAGUGUGAGUUGCGUCAUAUUUCCCCAGUCGCUUGCGGUUGGGGCGCUGUGGCCAGCGUUGUCACUUUUGGUGGGUCGCAUCGGAUGGUUUUGACGGGGGAGUUUAUACCCUGUCAUUUUGCGUUGCGGUUGACCGAGAGUGUCGAAAUGGUUUUCUUUUUCCCGUCUAGAAACACGGACCAAGGAGUCUAACAUAUGUGCGAGUACAGGGGUGUCAAUCUCUUGUGCGCAAUGAAAGUGACAGUGGCUGGAACGUUUUGUUGCACAGUCCGCCGGCCAUAAUCCCUCGGGAGAACGGUCUGAGUGUGAGCAUACAUGUUGGGACCCGAAAGAUGGUGAACUAUGCCUGAAUAGGGUGAAGCCAGGGGAAACUCUGGUGGAGGCUCGUAGCGAUUCUGACGUGCAAAUCGAUCGUCAAAUUUGGGUAUAGGGGCGAAAGACUAAUCGAACUAUCUAGUAGCUGGUUCCCUCCGAAAUUUCCCUCAGGAUAGCUGCGAUCGAAGAACUGAACCAAUUUUAUCA
rnacentral:rRNA from 1 species